UACGUAGGGCGCAAGCGUUAUCCGGAAUUACUGGGCGUAAAGAGCUCGUAGGUGGUUUGUCGCGUUGUUCGUGAAAACUCACAGCUCAACUGUGGGCGUGCGGGCGAUACGGGCAGACUUGAGUACUGCAGGGGAGACUGGAAUUCCUGGUGUAGCGGUGGAAUGCGCAGAUAUCAGGAGGAACACCGAUGGCGAAGGCAGGUCACUGGGCCGCAACUGACGCUGAGGAGCGAAAGCAUGGGGAGCGAACAGG
rnacentral:rRNA from 1 species